GACGAACGCUGGCGGCGUGCCUAAUACAUGCAAGUAGAACGCUGAAGGAGGAGCUUGCUUCUCCGGAUGAGUUGCGAACGGGUGAGUAACGCGUAGGUAACCUGCCUGGUAGCGGGGGAUAACUAUUGGAAACGAUAGCUAAUACCGCAUAACAGUAGAUGUUGCAUGACAUUUGCUUAAAAGGUGCAAUUGCAUCACUACCAGAUGGACCUGCGUUGUAUUAGCUAGUUGGUGAGGUAACGGCCCACCAAGGCGACGAUACAUAGCCGACCUGAGAGGGGGAUCGGCCACACUGGGACUGAGACACGGCCCAGACUCCUACGGGAGGCAGCAGUAGGGAAUCUUCGGCAAUGGACGGAAGUCUGACCGAGCAACGCCGCGUGAGUGAAGAAGGUUUUCGGAUCGUAAAGCUCUGUUGUAAGAGAAGAACGAGUGUGAGAGUGGAAAGUUCACACUGUGACGGUAUCUUACCAGAAAGGGACGGCUAACUACGUG
rnacentral:rRNA from 1 species